rnacentral:rRNA from 1 species
GAUGAACGCUAGCGGCGGGCUUAAUACAUGCAAGUCAAGGGGUAGCAAUACACCGGCGUACGGGUGCGUAACGCGUAUGGAACCUGCCCUUAUCUGGGGGAUAACUCGGGGAAACUCGAGCUAAUACCGCAUAAGAUAGUAGAAUGGCAUCAUUCAGCUAUUAAAGAUUUAUCGGAUAAGGAUGGCCAUGCGUAAGAUUAGAUAGUUGGUGGGGUAACGGCUCACCAAGUCUACGAUCUUUAGGGGCUCUGAGAGGAGAAUCCCCCACACUGGCACUGAGAUACGGGCCAGACUCCUACGGGAGGCAGCAGUAGGGAAUAUUGGGCAAUGGGCGGAAGCCUAACCCAGCCACGCCGCGUGCAGGAAGAAGGCCCUCUGGGUUGUAAACUGCUUUUGAUUGGGAAGAAAGCAUCUCAUGCGUGGGAUUUUGACGGUACCAAUCGAAUAAGCCACGGCUAACUACGUGCCAGCCGCCGCAGUAAUAC